CCCAUAGACAAAAUACAAAACCCGCUUCCGCAAAAGAAAAUUCCUCUCAACAAAGAACACAAUGAUCCUUAUAACCCACCCAGAAACUAAUCUGCCACAUAUUAACACCAAAACGAACACUUCCCAUUUCCACAAACUAAGUUUCCACACACUUUUAUUCCUCAAAUAUGGAAUAACAAGACUACAAACUAGAGCAGCAAUUAUUAAAAUCAAACUCACCCAUUGAAGAAG
rnacentral:misc_RNA from 1 species